rnacentral:rRNA from 1 species
ACGAACGCUGGCGGCUGCUUAACACAUGCAAGUCGAACGGAGUGGCGAACGGGUGAGUAACGCGUGAGAAACCUGCCUAUGACAGUGGGAUAGCCUCGGGAAACCGGGAUUAAUACCGCAUAGUCAUAGAUGGGCUCGCGUCUGAUUAGCAAGUUGGUGAGAUAACAGCGCACCAAGGCGACGAUCAGUAGCCGGUCUGUGAGGAUGAACGGCCACAUUUGAAGUGGGAAGCGGUCCAAACUCCUACGGGAGGCAGCAGUGGGGAAUAUUGACAAAUGGGGGAAACCAUGAUGCAGCGACGCCGGGAGAACGAAGAAGGUAUUCGUAUCGUAGAGUUGUGUCCUAUGGGAAGCAGUACCAGAGAAGAAAGCUCCGGCUAAAUACGUGCCAGCAGCCGCGGUAAUUC